CCUGGGGUUCCCCCAGCACCACCCAGUGCAAGGCAUGGGACAAGGUACGCGAGUAGCACCUAUGACUACCACAAAACACUGAGGGACCUCUCACCCGUGGAACAGCAAAUCUACUUGGUAUGUGCCAGUGCUGAGCUCCAGACAGACUGCUUCAGGCUGUGGCCAGCUGGGCCUUGAAAACCUCCAAGAACAUUCUACAGUGUUUCUCGGCUACCUGCUUUACUGUCUCAAUGAUGGAAGCGGAAGAAAAAAAAAAAAACCAACCCUACCACAUACCCAAGCAAAACCAGCUAUUAAAGUGACCUGUAUGCCUGCCAGGACACAUGGUUUCAUAAUUGUUUGUCAAGAGACAGGAAGAAAUGUAUUUAUAUAAUUACAGAAGUAAUUACAAAUCCUGCACAAUUGACUAAACAAGAGUUUAAACUAUGACUUCCACUAGCAGAAAUAAAACUCAUUUCCUUCUCAAAGUCAGGAAACCUCCCUUCUUAGGAGGAAUAUCAAAAGAGAUGACCAUCUAAUGAAAUCUGCUACAGACUAAAGGUAGGCAGGUGCCUUUGUUUAUUUAUUUAUUUUGGUAUUUUAAGUUUUUCCCUACUCUGCAUUUUAAUGGAACCUGUAUUUCUGUCAUCCCCCAAAUAAUUUCCAUUUUUGUUCUGGUGGGCAACUACGCAUGUUAUGUGCCAGAAACAAGACUGUGUGGCUUUCCAGGUAUCAUGAUCAUAGAUCCAGCAGAUCAUAGCCUUCCAUACAUACACAUGUUAAUUUAACAAGCUAGCACAAAGCAGUAACUAUGAUGGUGUAAGUAGCUGGUUAAAUGAAAUACUCUGUGCCUAAAGCACUGCAAAGUUUUACAUGGAUUUUUUUCUAUUUAGUAUGUAUUUCCUGCUACUUUGGUAGACAGCAUAAAGCUCAUGCAAUUACUAAUUAAAUUCUUACAAAAAUAAUAAAACCAUGUCCUUAAGGAUGCAAUGUAAACACUGCAAACUACAUCACCAGUGACAUCUUAUUUCUAGACCAGCUCAGAGGAAGAAAAUCAUUCCCUAAACAGCCAUGUCAAAUCAAAGCAGUAUUCAACACAAAACAUUCCCCUGGCAGGUAACCGAAACAGGCUAAGUUUCUUAGCACAGCUCAAGUUUCUUAGGCGUAUUUAACCCCAGAGUGAUGGGUUUUAAAUUCAGUGGCCCACCUCCGCUUACAUUUUCACUACUGAAAUCCGAAGUCUGCAAUAAUUUGUGUUCAUUUGUCUCUCUGAGAACAUAUUUAGCUCUCUGCUGAUCAGGUUAGUUAUGUCCGCUUGCAACGAAAUAAUCCUUGUGGAGUACGUCAUAACUUACCUGAGGGAAAACAACAGUAAUUUAAACAGAACUUCCCCUGAAAAGUUAGUAAAGCACUUGCUGCUUAACAGCCUAAAUUCUGCCACCCUUGCAAGCAAGAAUCCUAUACAGCAACACCUUCGAUACCAUAUUAACGUUUGACUUCUAAGCAAGUGGCAGAAGUUAAAGUUUGUUAUGUUUUGUAAUGCAAGAAGCAAUUAUUCAAGGCACUGUUCCAACAGAAAUGUUUUCACAGCCUGCAAGAAGCUUUGACUCAGAUUCUGUUGGAUCAAGAAGACUAAGUCUUACGUUAUCUAUGGGAGAACAUUUAUUUUCUAAGUGUACCUGAAACGCAGCAAUAUUCAGCAGGAUAUUAGAAGCAAUGAUACAGGCAGGACUUCAAAUAAAAAGAAUGUUUAAUUAUGACACAACUUCAGAAAACCCUUUACAGUUUCUUAUUUACUGUCAGAACUACCACGAUUUGAUUGUAUCUACAGAUUACAUUCCAUGCUCUUUUAGAGCUAUAUUCUGUUUUUUAUAUUAACUUCCACUGGACUUUCAUGAAACUUCCCCUGCAAGUGGGGUAAGUUUUUUCUUUCCAUUCAAA